CAUGGCAGUCGAGGGGCAGCAUGGUGUAGCAAUACACUGAUGGCGACCGGCAAACGGGUGCGGAACACGUACGCAAUCUACCCAAAACUGAUGAAUAGCCCUCCGAAAGGAGGAUUAAUACAUCGUAACAUAAUUGAAUGGCAUCAUUUAAUUAUUAUAGCUCCGGCGGUUUUGGAUGAGCGUGCGCCUGAUUAGGUAGUUGGCGGGGUAACGGCCCACCAAGCCUGCGAUCAGUAACUGGUGUGAGAGCACGACCAGUCACACGGGCACUGAGACACGGGCCCGACUCCUACGGGAGGCAGCAGUAAGGAAUAUUGGUCAAUGGACGCAAGUCUGAACCAGCCAUGCCGCGUGAAGGAUGAAGGUCCUCUGGAUUGUAAACUUCUUUUAUAUGGGACGAAAACUCUUUUUCUAAGGAGACUGACGGUACCAUAAGAAUAAGCACCGGCUAACUCCGUGCCAGCAGCCGCGGUAAUACGGAGGGUGCAAGCGUUAUCCGGAUUCACUGGGUUUAAAGGGUGCGUAGGAGGGCAGGUAAGUCAGUGGUGAAAUCUUCGAGCUUAACUCGGAAACUGCCGUUGAUACUAUCUGUCUUGAAUACCGUGGAGGUGAGCGGAAUAUGUCAUGUAGCGGUGAAAUGCUUAGAUAUGACAUAGAACACCAAUUGCGAAGGCAGCUCACUACACGAAUAUUGACUCUGAGGCACGAAGGCGUGGGGAUCAAACAGGAUUAGAUACCCUGGUAGUCCACGCCCUAAACUAUGGAUACUCGACAUACGCGAUACACUGUGUGUGUCUGAGCGAAAGCAUUAAGUAUCCCACCUGGGAAG
rnacentral:rRNA from 1 species